UACAGAGGUCUCAAGCGUUGUUCGGAUUCAUUGGGCGUAAAGGGCGCGUAGGCGGUCAGCACAAGUCAGUUGUGAAAUCUCCGAGCUUAACUCGGAAAGGUCAACUGAAACUGUGCGACUAGAGUGCGGAAGGGGCAACUGGAAUUCUUGGUGUAGCGGUGAAAUGCGUAGAUAUCAAGAGGAACACCUGCGGCGAAGGCGGGUUGCUGGGCCGACACUGACGCUGAUGCGCGAAAGCCAGGGAGCGAACGGG
rnacentral:rRNA from 1 species